rnacentral:rRNA from 1 species
UACGGAGGGGGCAAGCGUUGUUCGGAAUUAUUGGGCGUAAAGCGUAUGUAGGCGGCUAGGUAAGUCAGGCGUGCAAGCCCGUGGCUCAACCACGGAAUUGCGCUUGAAACUGCUUGGCUUGAGUACAGGAGAGGAAAGCGGAAUUCCCAGUGUAGCGGUGAAAUGCAUUGAUAUUGGGAAGAACAUCUGUGGCGAAGGCGGCUUUCUGGCCUGUUACUGACGCUGAGGAGCGAAAGCAUGGGGAGCAAACAGG